GGAUGAACGCUAGCUACAGGCUUAACACAUGCAAGUCGAGGGGCAGCAUUUCAGUUUGCUUGCAAACUGGAGAUGGCGACCGGCGCACGGGUGAGUAACACGUAUCCAACCUGCCGAUAACUCGGGGAUAGCCUUUCGAAAGAAAGAUUAAUACCCGAUGGUAUAAUCAGACCGCAUGGUCUUGUUAUUAAAGAAUUUCGGUUAUCGAUGGGGAUGCGUUCCAUUAGGCAGUUGGUGAGGUAACGGCUCACCAAACCUUCGAUGGAUAGGGGUUCUGAGAGGAAGGUCCCCCACAUUGGAACUGAGACACGGUCCAAACUCCUACGGGAGGCAGCAGUGAGGAAUAUUGGUCAAUGGGCGCAGGCCUGAACCAGCCAAGUAGCGUGAAGGAUGACUGCCCUAUGGGUUGUAAACUUCUUUUAUAUGGGAAUAAAGUUUUCCACGUGUGGAAUUUUGUAUGUACCAUAUGAAUAAGGAUCGGCUAACUCCGUGCCAGCAGCCGCGGUAAUACGGAGGAUCCGAGCGUUAUCCGGAUUUAUUGGGUUUAAAGGGAGCGUAGGUGGACAGUUAAGUCAGUUGUGAAAGUUUGCGGCUCAACCGUAAAAUUGCAGUUGAUACUGGCUGUCUUGAGUACAGUAGAGGUGGGCGGAAUUCGUGGUGUAGCGGUGAAAUGCUUAGAUAUCACGAAGAACUCCGAUUGCGAAGGCAGCUCACUGGACUGCAACUGACACUGAUGCUCGAAAGUGUGGGUAUCAAACAGGAUUAGAUACCCUGGUAGUCCACACAGUAAACGAUGAAUACUCGCUGUUUGCGAUAUACAGUAAGCGGCCAAGCGAAAGCAUUAAGUAUUCCACCUGGGGAGUACGCCGGCAACGGUGAAACUCAAAGGAAUUGACGGGGGCCCGCACAAGCGGAGGAACAUGUGGUUUAAUUCGAUGAUACGCGAGGAACCUUACCCGGGCUUAAAUUGCAUUUGAAUAUAUUGGAAACAGUAUAGCCGUAAGGCAAAUGUGAAGGUGCUGCAUGGUUGUCGUCAGCUCGUGCCGUGAGGUGUCGGCUUAAGUGCCAUAACGAGCGCAACCCUUAUCUUUAGUUACUAACAGGUCAUGCUGAGGACUCUAGAGAGACUGCCGUCGUAAGAUGUGAGGAAGGUGGGGAUGACGUCAAAUCAGCACGGCCCUUACGUCCGGGGCUACACACGUGUUACAAUGGGGGGUACAGAAGGCAGCUACCUGGUGACAGGAUGCUAAUCCCAAAAGCCUCUCUCAGUUCGGAUCGAAGUCUGCAACCCGACUUCGUGAAGCUGGAUUCGCUAGUAAUCGCGCAUCAGCCAUGGCGCGGUGAAUACGUUCCCGGGCCUUGUACACACCGCCCGUCAAGCCAUGAAAGCCGGGGGUACCUGAAGUACGUAACCGCAAGGAGCGUCCUAGGGUAAAACUGG
rnacentral:rRNA from 1 species